AUGUGGAAAGUGAAAAUGACGAGGCUGUGAUUUUUGUGUCCGACUCACGAGAUCCAUUAGAGUUUAUCGACUUGACCGAACAUGAGGACCAAUUUUAAAAUCAAGGUUAAAGUUAUUUUGUUAUUAAAUUUUGUUGUUAAUGGGAAAUUGCAUUGUUUGUUGGAAUUAUAAUCUAAUUAUGUUUGAUUACAAAUUGCAUGAGACUAAUGAAGAUUGAAUUUAAACUGUCAGGAUAUUGGAGACGUCAGAGAUGGAGUGAAACGCUUCAGCCGGACAAUCUUAUUAGCUUUUGCAUUGACUUGGGCAGAAUGCUAUGAAACUCAAGAGCCUCAAGAUAUAAGAACCUGUUAAGCUUUUCAUUAUAGCAAACAAAUGAAGUUUUAUUUAAAAAUUUAAAAGCAAAUCGACUUGGGCUUUGAACCCUGAAUUUUUUG